CGUGGGACAUUAUUUGUUAUACACUUGUAUGUGUUUUGUGGAUAAAUAUGGUAUGGAACUAUGGAUAUAUAUAUUGCUGAGUGUAGGUUGGUGAUAUGGAUGAGACGAGACCCAUAUAUGAUGAGAGCAUUGAGAGGUUUAUAUUCUUUUUUGGUCAAAAUAAGCAAACAAAGUUUCUUUUCUAUUACCUAGAGCAAACAAAGUUGAUAACUCUCUCGUCCUGAUUUGAUCUCAUUGAUCUUAACUUCAGUUGAACUUGUACUUAAUAUACUUUUCUCAAAUUGCAACAUCUAGUGUGUGACGCCAACUGUGGGAUUGUCUGGUCGCAAAGAUCGCAUGGUCAACAAUAUUAAAAAGUUUCAAAAAAUUUGUAGGUGUUGGAGAUGGGUCAUUGGACCUAGCAUAGAGCCCAAAGAAAUGUUAGACCUAAAAUCAUGUUCCGCCCACAUAAGAAAACAUACUCUAAUAUACUUAUCAAAUCAUACUUUUAUAAAGAUGAUACUAUUCAUUAAAAGGGUAUGCUAACUCGUUCAUAUACACGCUUUCACAAAGAUGAUCAUCCACAUUUCGUAAUCGUCACGGUAGAUCACUACCUCAAAUCUUAUUUAUUGGAUAUAGUCUCGGUUUAAUCAGAGUUUGGUUUAGAUAGUUUAAUUAUGGUUUAGCUUGGUUAAGUUUCCUUUAGCUUAUAGUUUAAUUAUGGUUUAGCUAAUCAGAGUUUGGUUUAGAUAGUUUAAUUAUGGUUUAGCUUGGUUAAGUUUCCUUUAGCUUAAUCAAGUGUAUAUAUGUGUGAGUCGUGAUGUAACUAAUAACAAAUUUUUACCAUCUUCUUCAUCAUCUCAGUCUCCAUGGAUCAAUCUUGAAGGAUCAACGAGAGUUAAUAUGGUAUCAGAGAACUCAACAACGUCUUCCGCUUCCUCUGUUUCAGGAUGAGCUUUUUGAUCUCCGUUUUCUCACGAUUUGUUCGUCUUUUCUGCGUCGCGAUCGGUGAUCUUCUGAUUCAGUAUGCUCUUUGUUACUCUCUUCUUGUUCGAUCUCUAUUUGGUUGAUCGUUGCAAUAUCUGAUUGUGUGAUUGUGUGAUUUGAGAUUUCUUGAUUGACUAAGUUUUCUCCAAGAGCAACUCCUUGUGUCUUCUUAGGAUAUCCUCUUGGAUACAAAGGAUAUAAACUUUUGGACUUAAAGUCUCAUAAUUUUUUCACCUCACGCAAUGUUAUCUUUCAUGAAUUUGAUUUUCCUUUUUAAAGCUACUUCACUUUUGCGUGACUCAGUCAAUAUGUUUCCUAAUUCUGUAUUGCCUUUACCUGCACCUUUACAUGUUGAAUCUAUGCCUUUACCUGAUUCUUCUUCUGAUGUUGCAUCAUCAUCCAAUACAACACAGCCU
rnacentral:lncRNA from 1 species